rnacentral:rRNA from 1 species
UGGGGAAUUUUGGACAAUGGGCGAAAGCCUGAUCCAGCAAUGCCGCGUGUGUGAAGAAGGCCUUCGGGUUGUAAAGCACUUUUGUCCGGAAAGAAAUCCUUGGCUCUAAUACAGUCGGGGGAUGACGGUACCGGAAGAAUAAGCACCGGCUAACUACGUGCCAGCAGCCGCGGUAAUACGUAGGGUGCAAGCGUUAAUCGGAAUUACUGGGCGUAAAGCGUGCGCAGGCGGUUUGCUAAGACCGAUGUGAAAUCCCCGGGCUCAACCUGGGAACUGCAUUGGUGACUGGCAGGCUAGAGUAUGGCAGAGGGGGGUAGAAUUCCACGUGUAGCAGUGAAAUGCGUAGAGAUGUGGAGGAAUACCGAUGGCGAAGGCAGCCCCCUGGGCCAAUACUGACGCUCAUGCACGAAAGCGUGGGGAGCAAAACAGGAUUAGAUACCCUGGUAGUCCACGCCCUAAACGAUGUCAACUAGUUGUUGGGGAUUCAUUCCUUAGUAACGUAGCUAACGCGUGAAGUUGACCGCCUGGGGAGUACGGUCGCAAGAUUAAAACUCAAAUGAAUUGACGGGGUC